rnacentral:rRNA from 1 species
AGCAGCCGCGGUAAUUCCAGCUCCAAUAGCGUAUAUUAAAGUUGUUGCAGUUAAAAAGCUCGUAGUUGAAUUUCGGGAUCUGUUGGUCGGUCGUGCCUCGGUACGUACUGGUCAAAUUGAUUCCUACCCACGAUGUCAUUAAUUUGGUGUCGUGGGGAAUCAGGACUGUUACUUUGAAAAAAUUAGAGUGUUUAAAGCAGGCUCGCGCUUGAAUACAUUAGCAUGGAAUAAUGAAAUAGGACGUUUGAUUCUAUUUUGUUGGUUUCUAGGAUCGACGUAAUGAUUAAUAGGGAUAGUUGGGGGCAUUAGUAUUCAAUUGUCAGAGGUGAAAUUCUUGGAUUUAUUGAAGACUAACUACUGCGAAAGCAUUUGCCAAGGAUGUUUUC